CUCUCGGCAACGGAUAUCUCGGCUCUCGCAUCGAUGAAGAACGUAGCGAAAUGCGAUACUUGGUGUGAAUUGCAGAAUCCCGUGAACCAUCGAGUCUUUGAACGCAAGUUGCGCCCGAAGCCUUCCGGCCGAGGGCACGCCUGCNUGGGCGUCACGCAUCGCGUCGCCCCCACCUCUCC
rnacentral:rRNA from 1 species